CCUACGGGAGGCAGCAGUGAGGAAUAUUGGUCAAUGGGCGCGAGCCUGAACCAGCCAAGUCGCGUGAAGGAUGACUGCCCUACGGUUUGUAAACCUCUUUUAUAAAGGAAUAAAGUGAGGCACGUGUGCCUUUUUGUAUGUCCUUUAUGAAUCAGGCUCGGCUAACUCCGUGCCAGCAGCCGCGGUAAUACGGAGGAUACGAGCGUUAUCCGGAUUUAUUGGGUUGAAAGGGAGCGUAGAUGGGUUGUUAAGUCAGUUGUGAAAGUGUGCGGCUCAACCGUAAAAUUGCAAUUGAUACUGGCAGCCUUGAGUACAGGAGAGGUAGGCGGAAUUCGUGGUGUAGCGGUGAAAUGCUUAGAUAUCACGAAGAACUCCGAUUGCGAAGGCAGCUUACUAAACUGCCACUGACACUGAUGAUCGAAAGUGUGGGUAUCAAACAGGAUUAGAUACCCUUGUAGUC
rnacentral:rRNA from 1 species